AGGACAGAGACAAGAACAAACCAUGACUAGUGAUGGUAAAAAAGGACAGAAAACACAGAAGACGGAGCAGGUCUUUUACCCUCUAAACCCAGCUCUGAACCUAAUUAUGCAGCAUUACACAGACGGGAUGAUGUGAUAUGCUCAACUGUAGUCCACUGUAACACUGAGAACAGGACACACUCUAGUGGCAUCAGAAGAUACUGCAGUAUAUGCC